UUGCUUUUCAAGUUGACAUGACUCGCAAUUUAAAGAAGACAAGUGGGAAAGAGAUGGAACUAGUUUUCGGAGUUUAGUGAUGUUGGGAUGGCCCAAACGGCUAUGAAGAAGAUCAGGAGAAGCAUUGGUAGUAAAGGCAACUGAGGAUUCUGGGCUGGAGAGAUAAUACAAUCCUUGUGACUCACAUCCUUUGCCAAUUACUUUCCCCGUACGUCGAUCCUGCACGAGAACAAUGUUAGCUAAGAAUGUGACAGAGCAAUUAAGUAGUUUGGUUAACUUGCUGAAAUAAG
rnacentral:misc_RNA from 1 species